rnacentral:rRNA from 1 species
UACAGAGGGUGCAAGCGUUAAUCGGAAUUACUGGGCGUAAAGCGUGCGUAGACGGUUAUGUAAGUCGGGUGUGAAAGCCCCGGGCUCAACCUGGGAAUUGCAUUCGAGACUGCAUAGCUAGGGUGCGGAAGAGGGAAGCGGAAUUCCCGGUGUAGUGGUGGAAUGCGUAGAUAUCGGGAGGAACACCUGUGGCGAAAGCGGCUCACUGGACCACAACUGACGCUGAGGCGCGAAAGCUAGGGGAGCAAACAGG